rnacentral:rRNA from 1 species
UACGUAGGCAGCAAGCGUUGUUCGGAGUUACUGGGCGUAAAGGGUGCGUAGGCGGCUUUUUAAGUCUGGUGUGAAAUCUCCCGGCUCAACUGGGAGGGUGCGCCGGAUACUGAGGGGCUAGAGUGUGGGAGAGGAAAGUGGAAUUCCUGGUGUAGCGGUGAAAUGCGCAGAUAUCAGGAAGAACACCAGCGGCGAAGGCGGCACUCUGGGCUGGAAUUGACGCUGAGGAGCGAAAGUGUGGGUAGCAAACAGG